CCCUUAGAUGUCCUGGGCCGCACGCGCGCUACACUGAUGCAUGCAACGAGUUUAUAACCUUGGCCUGAAAGGUCUGGGUAAUCUUUUGAACGUGCAUCGUGAUAGGGAUAGAUUAUUGCAAUUGUUAAUCUUGAACGAGGAAUUCCUAGUAAACGCGAGUCAUCAGCUCGCAUUGAUUACGUCCCUGCCCUUUGUACACACCGCCCGUCGCACCUACCGAUUGAAUGGUUCGGUGAAGAUCUCGGACUUUGAUAUUUAUUCUUUAUUGAGUUUAUAUUGUGGGAAGUUAUCUAAACCUCAUCAUUUAGAGGAAGGUGAAGUCGUAACA
rnacentral:rRNA from 1 species